UACAGAGGGUGCAAGCGUUGUUCGGAAUUAUUGGGCGUAAAGCGCGUGUAGGCGGCUUUGCAAGUCGGGUGUGAAAGCCCUCAGCUUAACUGAGGAAGUGCGCCCGAAACUGCAUGGCUUGAGUGCCGGAGAGGAUGGCGGAAUUCCCGAAGUAGAGGUGAAAUUCGUAGAUAUCGGGAGGAACACCGGUGGCGAAGGCGGCCAUCUGGACGGUAACUGACGCUGAGACGCGAAAGCGUGGGUAGCAAACAGG
rnacentral:rRNA from 1 species